CAAAAACAUGUCCUUUUGUUUAUUUAUUUAAGGUCUGACCUGCCCAAUGAGGAAUUCAAUGGCCGCAGUAUUUUAACUGUGCUAAGGUAGCAUAAUCAUUUGUCUUUUAAUUGAGGGCUGGAAUGAAAGGUUGGACGAGAUAUUGACUUUCUUUAGUUUAAUUUUAAGAAUUUAAUUUUUGAGUUAAAAAGCUUAAAUUUAUUUGUUGGACGAGAAGACCCUAUAGAUCUUUAUAAUUUUAUAUUUUGAUAAUUUGGUGAUUUUAUUUAUUGUGAGUAGAAGAAUUAUUUUGUUGGGGUGACUGUAGAAUUUUAUUAACUUCUAUUAUUUUUAUUUCAUUUAUUGAUGUUUUUUUGAUCCAUAUAUUUAUGAUUAAAAGAUUAAGUU
rnacentral:rRNA from 1 species